UUGAACGCUGGCGGCAUGCUUUACACAUGCAAGUCGAACGGUAACAGGCCUUCGGGUGCUGACGAGUGGCGAACGGGUGAGUAAUGCAUCGGAACGUACCCAGAGGUGGGGGAUAACGCAGCGAAAGCUGUGCUAAUACUGCAUGUGAUCUGAGGAUGAAAGCGGGGGACCGAGCAGCAAUGUUUGGCCUCGCGCCUUUGGAGCGGCCGAUGUCGGAUUAGCUAGUUGGUGGGGUAAAGGCCUACCAAGGCGACGAUCCGUAGCUGGUCUGAGAGGACGGCCAGCCACACUGGGACUGAGACACGGCCCAGACUCCUACGGGAGGCAGCAGUGGGGAAUUUUGGACAAUGGGCGCAAGCCUGAUCCAGCAAUGCCGCGUGCGGGAAGAAGGCCUUCGGGUUGUAAACCGCUUUUGGCAGGAACGAAACGGUGUCCGCUAAUACCGGGCGCUAAUGACGGUACCUGCAGAAUAAGCACCGGCUAACUACGUG
rnacentral:rRNA from 1 species